rnacentral:tRNA from 2 species
GUGGUCGUUGGGGUGGACCGGGCUCUUGCCGCCGCGGGCGCCGCCGAGCCGCUCGUUGGCGAGGCUGGCGAUCACCUCGUUGACGUUCAUG